rnacentral:rRNA from 1 species
AGUGAACGCUGGCGGCAGGCCUAAUACAUGCAAGUCGAACGGCAGCACAGCAGAGCUUGCUCUGUGGGUGGCGAGUGGCGGACGGGUGAGGAAUACGUGGGAAUCUGCCCAGUCGUGGGGGAUAACGUAGGGAAACUUACGCUAAUACCGCAUGCGCCCUUCGGGGGAAAGCCGGGGACCUUCGGGCCUGGCGCGAUUGGAUGAGCCCACGCCGGAUUAGCUAGUUGGCGGGGUAAAGGCCCACCAAGGCGACGAUCCGUAGCUGGUCUGAGAGGAUGAUCAGCCACACUGGAACUGAGACACGGUCCAGACUCCUACGGGAGGCAGCAGUAGGGAAUAUUGGACAAUGGGCGCAAGCCUGAUCCAGCCAUGCCGCGUGAGUGAAGAAGGCCCUCGGGUUGUAAAGCUCUUUUGUCCGGAAAGAAAGCGCCGGGUUAAUACCCUGGUGUCCUGACGGUACCGGAAGAAUAAGCACCGGCUAACUUCGUGCCAGCAGCCGCGGUAAU